CCGUUGUAGCAAUACGAUGGAAAGUCUAGUGGCGAACGGGUGCUUAACACGUGGGCAACCUGCCGAGAAGUGGGGGAUAGCUCGCCGAAAGGCGAAUUAAUACCGCAUGUGAUUAGAGUGGACAUCCAUUCGAAAUUAAAGUCGGGGCAACCUGACGCUUCUUGUGGGGCCCGCGGCCUAUCAGCUAGUUGGUGAGGUAAAGGCUCACCAAGGCUUUGACGGGUAGCUGGUCUGAGAGGACGACCAGCCACACUGGGACUGAGACACGGCCCAGACACCUACGGGUGGCAGCAGUCGAGAAUUUUUGACAAUGGGGGAAACCCUGAUCGAGCGACGCCGCGUGGAGGAUGAAGGUCUUCGGAUUGUAAACUCCUGUCAUUGGGGAACAAUGCGUGACGCUUAACUGCCGUUGCGUUGAUAGUACCCGAAGAGGAAGAGACGGCUAACUCUGUGCCAGCAGCCGCGGUAAUACAGAGGUCUCAAGCGUUGUUCGGAUUCAUUGGGCGUAAAGGGUGCGUAGGCGGCGCGGUAAGUCGGGUGUGAAAUCUCGGAGCUUAACUCCGAAACUGCAUUCGAUACUGCCGUGCUUGAGGACUGGAGAGGAGACUGGAAUUCUCGGUGUAGCA
rnacentral:rRNA from 1 species